AUUGAACGCUGGCGGCAGGCCUAACACAUGCAAGUCGAGCGGAUGAAGGGAGCUUGCUCCUGGAUUCAGCGGCGGACGGGUGAGUAAUGCCUAGGAAUCUGCCUGGUAGUGGGGGAUAACGUCCGGAAACGGGCGCUAAUACCGCAUACGUCCUGAGGGAGAAAGUGGGGGAUCUUCGGACCUCACGCUAUCAGGUGAGCCUAGGUCGGAUUAGCUAGUUGGUGGGGUAAAGGCCUACCAAGGCGACGAUCCGUAACUGGUCUGAGAGGAUGAUCAGUCACACUGGAACUGAGACACGGUCCAGACUCCUAUGGGAGGCAGCAGUGGGGAAUAUUGGACAAUGGGCGAAAGCCUGAUCCAGCCAUGCCGCGUGUGUGAAGAAGGUCUUCGGAUUGUAAAGCACUUUAAGUUGGGAGGAAGGGCAGUAAGUUAAUACCUUGCUGUUUUGACGUUACCAACAGAAUAAGCACCGGCUAACUUCGUG
rnacentral:rRNA from 1 species